UUUUUAUUUAUUAAUUACUUUUUUUCCUAUAUAAUAUUAUAGCUUUCAAAUAUAUCUAUUCUAUAUAAAGUGUGCCUAUAUAACAAAAUUUUUGGUUUAUGAGAAAUUCAUGGAUGACUUUUUAUUUAUAUUUAAUAAAAUAAUAAAAUAUUAUUUAUAUAUAAUAAAAUAAAAAUAAAACAAAUCCCAUUAAUAUUUGAACUGAUAUUUGAUGCUAAUUAUUUAUACGCUUUAAUAUUAUUUAUUUUUUUUCAUUACACCCAUAUUAGAAAUUCUAAAUUUAUGUUGCUUAAAUAUUGACUCUCUGUACUCAAUUAUUUGUGGAUUCAUGUUCCAAUAUUAUUAUUUGUGUAAAAUCUUUGACAAAAUAUCCAAAUCUACGUGGAUUAUUUUUUUUCUACAUAAUAUUCCUUAGGAUUGUGUUCAUUUAUGUGUACAAAAUGUGUUAUAGACUCGUCAUUAUUGCAUUAUAGAGGACUAUGUGAAGAUUCAUGUGUCGUCUUUUGAAUGAAAUUUAUCGACUAUUUAUUAUUAUUUAUUGAUUAUUAUUUUAUUGGCACAAAAAAUAAAUUUGUGGUAGAUUUAAAUUAAAUUUUAGUAUUAUGCUCUAAUGGACAAUUACGAAAAUAUAAAAUUUAAUAUCUACUUAAUGUUUUUAUUAAGAAUAAAAUAAAAACUCAUAAUUUUAUUAUCAAUUUUAUUACUAAUGGAAGAUAGUCUUACGUGUUAAAUUUACAUACUUUUUAGCACAUCAUUAGAUUUAGAGUAUACUUUUUGUUAAAUAAAUUACAUUUUAGUUUUUCACCACUUAUUUGCAUCUCUAUUGUAGAUGCUCUUAGUGAUUGUUGAUUUAUUUAUCAAAGCUAAUACAUUAAUUAUCUUAAAUUAUGAACAAGAAAUAAGAGUUUAGUUUUGAAAUUUUACGCAUUAUUUUUUUUCCAAUAUAUAUAUCAUUAUGUUUUUUAUUUUAUGAUAUAUAAUUAGUUUAAAAUAAGAUUAUUUAUUUAAUUAAACUAUAAUAAUAUUGUAUAGUAUAAUAAUUAAAAGUUAACUAAAAUAUAAUUAAAUGUACGUACAUUGUACGUAACUUUAAUCUAGUAUAUAUCUAUUCUAUAUAAAGUGUGCCUAUAUAACUAAAAUUCUUGGUUUAUGAGAAAUUUAUGGGUGAAUUUUUAUUUUUAUUUAAUAAAAUAAUAAAAUAUUAUUUAUAUUUAAUAAAAUAAUAAUAAAACCAAUCUCAUUAAUAUUUGAACUGAUAUUUAAGAUUCUGAUGUUUGUUUUCUUUAAUCUUAUACUUUUAACUGAAUUUAAAUGUCUCAAGUAUAUAUAUUAUAUAAUGACAUAUAUUUUACUCUCACUGAUUAAUCUUUCAUUGUUCCCCAUAAAUAUAAUAGUGUGCAUUCUUUUUUAUUAUUAUUAUAAAUUGUUGUCGUUACAUAUUGAAUUUGUAUUUGACUUGACUAAUCUCAGUGAUAGUGUGGUAGUGGCUUUCUUGCAACAAUGUACUUGAGGUCGAUAGACGAUCAAUGUGUGAGUAAAGAGCGAGUACAAAUAGUAUAGUGAUGAUAACAUUGGGUUCGAGAUGCUUGAGGUUGUAUUUUGUUGAAAAUACAAUAAAGAAUAAGAAAAAUUGUUACAAAUGUUAUAAAGAAGACAUUUAUUUAGUGAAUCAA